GUAAGGAUCUCCCAUUAGCACUCGUGCUGCCUCCCAGAUAGACAUGACAGGAAAGACCAAUUUCCAUCACCAAAGCACAGCUAUGAAAAGUCUCAAUUCAAAUUAAUUCAAUUGUAGAGAGCUGAUGUCUAUGACAAAAUUAAUUGGAAGGAUGCGUCCGUGUCCGUGCUGGUGGAAAUGAAAGUAGCCGGCUGGAGCUGAGCUUGGCUUCCAAAAGCACCACACAGUUUCUGGAGUUUCCAGCAGAAGUCUUCUCUUCCAACAAUGGUUUCCAUGGCAAUGCAGUCAGUCUUUUCGUGCAGCGUUACACUUCAGACCAUCAGACCUGGUGAAGUC
rnacentral:lncRNA from 1 species